UGCAGGGAAGUAAACAGCAAUGCCUGGCUCAUAGCAACCAGUCAGGGACUGUUCCCCAUCCUGAUUACCGAAGUGACUAAGCCCAGAACCCGGGCCACCAGCUCCGCUCCCAGCCGAACACCUGGCUGGUGACAGCUAAUAAUGAAUAAGUCGGUUAACGGAGAGGAGGGACUUCGGAGUUGGCAGUAGGGAGCUCCCCAUCACUCGCAGUGUGCAGCACAAACCAGAGGAGGGAUUCACACUGCAGCGGCGUUUCGUGUGCACAGCCCUGAGCUCUGGUGGUCAAGAGCAGCAGGGGAGAAGAGCACAACGUGACAGCUGAUGGCCUGGGAGACCAAGGACACCCAAGCUCAAGGACACCUGCUGUACACAUCGCCGCCAAGGCCAAGAACAGGCCUCACACUGCCACCUGGCCCUGAGCUUCUCUUCCCACCAGACACAGUGAGCAAGCUCGCCUCUCUGGAUGCGUGCUGACCUCAAGGAGUCCUGGCUGUCUGCGGAGAAAGAACAGUAACAAGCCUGGCACGGUGGUGCACGGCUGUGAACCCAGCACUUGGGGAGGCCGAGGUAGGAGAGUUGCAAGUAUGAGGCAAGUCUCAAAAAAUAUGAAGGGUUGGAUGCAGCUCAGAGCCCAGGCCCUGGGUUUAAUCUCCAGUGCCAUUAAAAAAAAAAAGAAGAAGAAAGAAAAAGAACAUUAACUAGAGGGCAAGGCAGAGGGCUGGAACGACAGCUGUGUGCCUGACUAGCUAUGUGACCCUCCGCUGCUCCUGGAAAAUGGAAAGAGAGAAUACCUGCCUCUCGCAGCUUGUGAGUCAAGUGAGGUGAUUGGGUAAAAGGCCUGGCAGAUUCCUGUUAUCACAAGCGGCUGCCGCCGCCGCCUG